rnacentral:rRNA from 1 species
GAUGAGUUUGCGCUCGAUUAGCUAGUUGGUGAGGUAAUGGCUCACCAAGGCGACGAUCGAUAGCUGGUCUGAGAGGACGGCCAGCCACACUGGGACUGAGACACGGCCCAGACUCCUACGGGAGGCAGCAGUAGGGAAUAUUGCACAAUGGAGGAAACUCUGAUGCAGCGACGCCGCGUGAGUGACGAAGGCCUUCGGGUCGUAAAGCUCUGUUCUCAGGGAAAAAGCAAGUGAUUGUACCUGAGAAGAAAGGACCGGCUAACUUCGUGCCAGCAGCCGCGGUAAGACGAGGGGUCCAAGCGUUGUUCGGAAUUAUUGGGCGUAAAGCGGGUGUAGGUGGCUAUCUAAGUCAGAAGUGAAAGCCCCAGGCUUAACCUGGGAAGUGCUUUUGAUACUGGAUAGCUUGAAUGUGGGAGAGGAUCGUGGAAUUCCAGGUGUAGUGGUGAAAUACGUAGAUAUCUGGAGGAACACCGGUGGCGAAGGCGGCGAUCUGGCCCAACAUUGACACUGAGACCCGAAAGCAUGGGGAUCAAACAGGAUUAGAUACCCUGGUAGUCCACGC